GAAAUGCGAUAAGUAAUGUGAAUUGCAGAAUUCAGUGAAUCAUCGAAUCUUUGAACGCACAUUGCGCCCGGCAGUAAUCUGCCGGGCAUGCCUGUCCGAGCGUCAUUUCUCCCCUCGACCCCGGCUCUGCCGCGGCGUCGGUGUUGGGGCGCUACGGGGAGCCUCGCGCUCGACCCCGUAGGCCCCGAAAUGAAGUGGCGGUCCCGCCGCGGCGCCCCCUGCGUAGUAGCUCUUACAACUCGCAUCGGGUCCCGGCGGAGGCCAGCCGUCAAACCCCCCCAAUAUGAUGUUUGACCUCGGAUCAGGUAGGGUUACCCGCUGAACUUAAGC
rnacentral:misc_RNA from 1 species